rnacentral:misc_RNA from 1 species
GAUGAAGAACGUAGCGAAAUGCGAUACUUGGUGUGAAUUGCAGAAUCCCGUGAACCAUCGAGUCUUUGAACGCAAGUUGCGCCCGAAGCCAUUAGGCCGAGGGCACGCCUGCCUGGGCGUCACACGUCGUUGCCCCCCCAUCUACUCCUUCGGGAUUGCGGGGGGCGGAUGAUGGCCUCCCGUGCGCCUCGUCGCGCGGUUGGCAUAAAUGCCAAGUCCUCGGCGACGCACGCCACGACAAUCGGUGGUUGCGAAACCUCGGUUGCCCGUCGUGUGCGGUCGUCGCGCAUCGAGGGCUCGAAAAAAUUGCCGGGCUCCGGCUCGGCUUUCAACGCGACCCCAGGUCAGGCGGGGUUACCCGCUCAAUUUAAGCAUAUCAAUAAGCGGAGGA